GGAGUCGUGGUAUAGUGGUUAAUUCACUGGACUCCUAAUCCAAGGGUUCAGGGUUCAAACCCCAGCCCG
rnacentral:tRNA from 1 species